rnacentral:rRNA from 1 species
AGGAUUUUCUUAGUAGCGGCGAGCGAAAAGAAAACAGUUCAGCACUAAGUCACUUUGUUUUUAUGACAAAUGUGAGAUGCAGUGUAUGGAAUAUCUUAAAUCUAGUAUGAGAAAUUAACGAUUUAAGUCCUUCUUAAAUGAGGCCAUUUACCCAUAGAGGGUGUCAGGCCCGUAUAACGUUAAUGAUUACUAGAAGAUGUUUCCAAAGAGUCGUGUUGCUUGAUAGUGCAGCACUAAGUGGGUGGUAAACUCCAUCUAAAACUAAAUAUAACCAUGAGACCGAUAGUAAACAAGUACCGUGAGGGAAAGUUGAAAAGAACUCUGAAUAGAGAG